rnacentral:rRNA from 1 species
AGUGAACGCUGGCGGCGUGCCUAAUACAUGCAAGUCGAACGCGAAAGUCCUUCGGGAUGAGUAAAGUGGCGCACGGGUGAGUAAUGCAUGAGAACAUACCCUUAGAUGGGGAAUAACGGUUGGAAACGAACGCUAAUACCGCAUAAUCUCGAGAGAGUAAAGGUGGCGCCGCAAGGGCUACCGUCUAAGGAUUGGCUCAUGUCCCAUUAGCUAGUUGGCGGGGUAAUGGCCCACCAAGGCAACGAUGGGUAUGUGGUCUGAGAGGAUGACCACACACACUGGAACUGAGACACGGUCCAGACUCCUACGGGAGGCAGCAGUAGGGAAUAUUGCACAAUGGGGGAAACCCUGAUGCAGCAACGCCGCGUGAGUGAAGAAGGCCCUUGGGUCGUAAAGCUCUUUAGCGAGGGAAGAGGGUAGAUACGGUGAAUAAUCGUGUUUGCUGACGGUACCUCGAGAAUAAGCACCGGCUAAUUUCGUGCCAGCAGCCGCAGUAA